rnacentral:rRNA from 1 species
AACGAACGCUGGCGGCGUGCCUAACACAUGCAAGUCGAGCGCCCCGCAAGGGGAGCGGCAGACGGGUGAGUAACGCGUGGGAACGUACCCUUUGCUACGGAAUAGCUCCGGGAAACUGGAAUUAAUACCGUAUGUGCCCUACGGGGGAAAGAUUUAUCGGCAAAGGAUCGGCCCGCGUUGGAUUAGCUAGUUGGUGGGGUAAUGGCCUACCGAGGCGACGAUCCAUAGCUGGUCUGGGAGGAUGAUCAGCCACAUUGGGACUGAGACACGGCCCAAACUCCUACGGGAGGCAGCAGUGGGGAAUAUUGGACAAUGGGCGCAAGCCUGAUCCAGCCAUGCCGCGUGAGUGAUGAAGGCCUUAGGGUUGUAAAGCUCUUUCACCGGAGAAGAUAAUGACGGUAUCCGGAGAAGAAGCCCCGGCUAACUUCGUGCCAGCAGCCGCGGUAAAAC